UUCCGAGGGUCGGACGAUAUAUUUUAUCGAUAACUCCGCGGUCACACUGAAAACAACGUCGCGCAUUUUUCCUCCGAGUUAAAAAAAAUGAAUUAAUCACCAUUAAAUGCUGGUAAAAGAAAAACGGAAAUGUUACUAAUAACAGCAACACGCAAACGCGCUAGAAUGUGCGGUUGAACCACUGUGAUCCGUGGCAGCGACACGCAGCAAAGCAGCCACUGCGGCGGCGGCUAACACAAAAAAAAGAAGAGAAAAACGAAGAAAAAGGAAAAAAUUAAACAAGUUUUCGUGAUGCGGUGGCCGUUGGAAAUUUGCGUUUAAAGAGUUAAGGCUGCGCCCAGCCAGCCGCGAGAAAAAGUGCAAUCAAACAAUUAAACAAAAAUGAUAAACAAAAUCCGCGAAGGAGUCGAUUUUAAAGCUGUAAUUGUGUCGUGAGAGUGAUGAGUGUGUGUGCGUGUUGUGAGUGCGUUUUGUGUCUGUUCUCUGUGUGUGCAAAUGACUGCUCAAAAGAAGUGCUGAAGUGGCGGCAGAGGUAGCAGCGGCGGCAGAGGUAGUGUUAGCCAAGCCCAAAACGAACGCGAAUAAAGCUAGCAGUACAAAUUAAAUAUAUAUAUGAAAAAGUUAUAAACAUAAGAGUGUGAGCCAAGCAGUACUGCACUGAAACAGCAGCAGGAGCAGCGACAUCACAGCACACGCACAGGGAGCGGCAUCUUUUUUGGGGCUGAAGGCGCAGACGGACGGCGGACACGGCGCAAUGACCGAGGAAUUGAAAGUGGUGCUGCGACGCAGCGAACAGCAUUCCGGUUUCGGGUUUUCGCUGCUUGGAUCAACUGGACCGCCACAUGUCAUCUACGACAUUGUGGAGAAUUCGCCGGCAGCAGAUUGCGGAUCGGUUGAAGCCGGGGAUGUCAUCCUCAAAGUCAAUGGAACCGAUGUCCAUCGCUAUACAACGAAGGAGGUUCUCAAAUGCCUGCGAUUGUCCGAACAGUUGGUGACCUUGGAACUGAAGCGAGAUCCUAAGCUCAAGGCACGAAUUAAAGAGCAGCUGGCCAACACACAGAGUCCACACUAUGUGGAUAUUGAAUCUCCCAACAUCUACGACUACAGCAGCAGCCACAGCGCCAAUUCCUCACCCAACCAUCGUCCGAACAACAGCAAGGUAUCUUCUCCGGCGGCGGCCAGCGGACUGCGCUUCAAGUCGCCCACACACUUGCCAUCGCUGCGGCAGAACUCCUCGACGCUGCUGGCCAGUGGAUCCACCACUACGACCACCCACACACACAGCCGCAACUCCUCGGCCAGCUCCACAAAGAUAAAGGUGGUGGAGACCACCAUUCAGACGACAUCAUCAACCAUCACCACAAGUGCAGCGCCAACGUCGCCAACGGGCUCGGACGCCACCUCGCCCACGCACCGACCCUCACGCAUUCCACAGGCGCGAAAGUGCCCGGCGCCCAAGCCCGUGCCCGUGCUCCAUUCGCCACAAAAUAAGCGGCCACGCUCCUCGCAGAUACCCACAAAGGCAUCGAACGGCAACGGCAACGGUAACGGGAGUGCACACAACUCCCAGCUGCCACCGCAAUUGUUGCAGCACUCGAACAGCUACAGCGGCAGUCCCGUGACCCGGCCACGGAUCUCCACAGAGCGCGAGCCGGACACAGAGAGGGAACCAGAACCGAAUUCGGCACCACCGCAAUCGGCGAAGGCGCCACGCUUUGAGGCUUUCAUGAUGACGGGAGAUCUGAUCUUGAAUCUGUCCAGGACACCACAGACCAGCAAUCACCUAACGACCCAGGCCAAGAAGGUUGACAGUCUGCGUGAUUCGCCGAUUCGUCAGGCCAAUUCCCGGAUGAAUGGCGCCCUAGCGCCCCGAGCUUCGGGAGAAUCCUCGCCCACAUCCUCUUCCUCGGUGGACUCGCCCACCAACACCAGCUCGGAUUCGGUGAAGCGUGAGGCGAAGCUGCAGCGCAAACAACACCCGCAGCAGCAGCAGCAACAUCAGCAGCAGCGGGACAGCAUCAACAACAGCUACAACCGUAAGGAUUCGCUCACCAACGACACGCUGCUGAUGUGCGAGGAGCUGGAGCGCGAUGAGGAGGGCGAGUAUGUGCUCGAGGAGGACAGCAAGCAUCAGCAUCAGCGUCAACGCCAGCACCAGCAACGCUAUCGUCAGCAGCAGCAGCAGCAACGAUACGAGUACUACCAGAACGAUGACGAGCUGGACGAGGAGCAGGAGCAGGAGGUGGAAGCAGAGGCGGAGGAGGAGCGCGAGGAGGAUCAGACCCACUACGACAUCACCAACAUAGAGACGUACCAGAGCGGGAUGGGGCGCGGCGAUGAGGAUGACAGCGACCGCCAGUGCCUGGUCGAAGACGACGAUGACGAUGACGAUGCCUACGACGAGGAGGAGAACGAUGCCGGCGACGAGGAUUACUCAACCAAUUCGCUGGGCUCCGGAUCUACGAAGCAGCGACUGCGCGCCCUCAAGCAGCGUGCCGCAACGCGACAACAGCAGCAGCGCAAUCGAGAUGCGGUCGAUUGUGCUGCCCGCAUGCCCGGCUACUCUGCCUCGGGCUCCACCUCGUCCACAACGGUCAAGAGUGAGGCGGCCGGCGGCAUGGGCAUUCCCAUGGGCGUGGGGCUGGGCGCAGCCAAUACCUCGCAGGACGAGACCUCCUUCUCAGUGCCAACAUCGCCCAUUUCGCUGUCGACGCCCCUGAUCGACAAGGAGACGGCCAAUUCGGUGCCCACCAGCCCGGAGCCGAGCUCUUUGGCUCCCGAGUCGAGUAGUGGGGCUGCUGGUGUCGUUGUUGUGCGACGCCACCACAACGGGCAUGUGGUGCGCAAAUGCGAUGCCGCCGGCUUCCGCACCAGCAAGUCCGAGGAUCAUCUGCAGCAGAUCCAGCGCGAGGGCAUUGCGGCUGUGAUACCCAUCGACAUUGAUGAGGAUGUGAAUAGUUCACUCAAUACGCUGCUGGACACGCGUCAGGACUCCGAGGACUCGCAGUCGACGGCCACCACUGCAUCGUCGGUGGCCACCAUUGUACACAACUCGUCGGCGUUGAACAACAACGAGAACGAGAAUGAGAUUGAGAGUGAACCGCUGAAUAGCCGCAACAACAACAGUGCCGCAACAACAACCACAACAAUAGGGAACAACAAUAGCAGCGAGACCGAAAACGAGACCGAGAGCGAGUGCGAGGGCGAGGGCGAAAGCAGUGUAGCAGCAACAGCAACGACUGCCACGAGAACUAACAAGAAGAUGAUCGGAAGCAACUGCAGCAACAAAUUAAACUAUAUCCUAUGCAAAAAGGCAUCGGAUCGAGAUCGGAUUGUGUGGACCUAUAAUGCACCACUGCAGCCGCAUCAGCUGCAGCAGAUCCAACAGCAGCAGCAGCAACAACAGCUUCAUCAGCAACAGCAGCAACAAAUACUAUUGCAGCAGCAACAACAGCAACAGCAGCAACAACAACAACAACAGCAGCAGCAGCAAUUCUACGGUCAGCAAUCGCAUUCAAAUUCACAUUCAAGUUCCAUUAGUUCGUCGCCGCAGCAUUCGGCUGCCGGCAGUCCUGCCUCCCCCACAUCGGUAUCCUCGUCGGUGAUGUCCUCGUCGGGCUCAAAGGGUGCCCUCGGUGCCGUGGGUGGCAAUGGUCAGGCAGCGGACCAGCAGCAGCAGCAGCUAGAGCAGCGAGAACAAGGCGGAACAGCCUCCCUGCAGCCGCCCUCCGGCAUGCCCGGUCUGCUAGCCUGUCCAGGGACUGGCAAUGGUGCUGGUGGUGGUGGUGUUGGUUGUAACAACGAUCUGAGCGUCUCAGAGGCCAUUUCGAAUAUAUCUAGUCCCGACUACCAAGACGACGAUAACUUAUUGAGUUCUCGCGAUAUUCUAGGCGGCAUGGUACUUAGCGAUCCCAGUGACUCGGACUCCACCAUACUCGUCUCGGAUGGGGCCGCCCUGCAGCGCCAGCAGCUCAAGCAACAGCUGCGUGCCCAGCAGCAGCAACAGAGGGACAGGGACAGAGAUCAGUCGGAGCACAAGGUGGUCAUCCAAGUGCGCGGCAUGGACAACAACGGCGGUGGCGGUGGCAGUGCGGCUCGGUCCGAGGACGAUGUGGUCACGCUGACGGAUGAGCAGCCGCAUACAACGAUGUCGUCGGGGGCUGGGGCGGGGGCGCAGGGCACGCGAGACGCCUCGCCACCCGUCUCCGAUGAUGGCAGCGAUGUGGAAUCACUGCACUCCUACCAUUACUCGCCCAAGGCUGUGGACAUGCCCUCGGCCAUACGCCUGGCUAAAAGACUGUAUUCCCUCGAUGGUUUCAAGAAGAGCGACGUCUCCCGGCAUCUCAGCAAGAACAACGACUUUAGCAGGGCUGUGGCCGAUGAGUAUCUAAAGCAUUUCACCUUUGAGAAAAAGUCGCUGGACCAGUCGCUGCGCGAGUUCCUGCAACAGUUCUCGCUCUCCGGCGAGACCCAGGAGCGAGAGCGGGUGCUAGUGCACUUCUCGAAACGUUUUCUGGACUGCAAUCCGGGUACCUUCAACUCGCAGGAUGCGGUGCACACGCUGACCUGUGCCAUAAUGCUUCUGAACACGGAUCUGCAUGGGCAGAAUAUGAAUCGUAAAAUGAGCUGUGCGGAAUUUGUCGACAAUCUGGCAGAUCUCAACGAUGGCGAGAACUUUCCCAAGGAUAUACUCAAGUUGUUGUAUCAGGCCAUCAAAACGAAGCCGCUGGAAUGGGCGCUAGAUGACGAUGCGGGUGAUCUGCAGCAGCGGGGCAACAAUGCACUGGGAAAUGUUGGACAGAAUCCCUUCCUGGAUGCACCCGAACUGGCCACCGCUGUGGAGUACAAGAAGGGCUAUGUGAUGCGCAAAUGCUGCUACGAUAGCAGCUACAAAAAGACUCCCUUCGGCAAACGCUCCUGGAAGAUGUUCUACUGCACGCUGCGUGAUCUGGUUCUGUAUCUGCAUAAGGAUGAGCAUGGUUUUCGCAAGAGUCAAAUGUCCGACAAUCUGCACAAUGCAAUACGCAUACAUCACGCCCUGGCCACCAAGGCCAAUGACUACACCAAGAAGCAACAUGUGUUCCGUCUGCAGACAUCCGAUCAAGCCGAGUAUCUCUUCCAGACAAGCGACUCCAAGGAGCUCCACUCGUGGGUCGAGACGAUCAAUUACGUGUGCGCCGCCAUUUCGGCGCCGCCACUCGAGGGCGGCGUGGGCAGCCAGAAGCGAUUCCAGCGCCCACUCUUGCCCAGCAAGCAGACAAAACUGAUGGUGAAGGAGCAAUUGGAGUCGCACGAGGUGCAGCUGGCGCAGCUAGAGCAGGAGCUCAAUGAGCACAAGAAGGGGCCGAUACCCAGCAAGGGCUUGCCACUGCAGAACUACAAGGAGAAGGAGAGCUAUUUGCAAUAUGAACUGCGUCGCUACCGCACCUAUGUGAGCAUACUUAGCGCCAAAAUGCUAGCCGAUCAGCAGCAAUUGGAGCUGCAGGCGCUGCAGCCCACGCAGGCAAUCCUUGACGAAGAAGCCGACACAUUCCCCGUGGGCAACAGCUGCUCGCCCACCACGCCGCCAAGUAUUAACAUUCAGGAGCAACAGCAGAAGGAACAGCAACGGCAGCCACAUUCAUCGAACAGAUGGCUCGAUGUCUUCUGCUGCUGUAGCGUGCUCUGGCGGCAUUUCCAAAAGCCUUUAAACGAGUAGUAGACUCUUGCCUGGAGGCUAGCGAUCCGCGGACAGCAGUCCAACGAAGGUGCUUCUCUCUCUGUAAAUGACCCGACCUGUACCUACUAGCCUGUCUUGAAUGUGAGCAAGCUAUGGGCUACAUAUAUCUCAAUGUUUUAUUGCUUACUCUUCAGUGUCUAGCUUGGCUCCACAUCUUUAUAUCGAACAUUUCAGAACCUCUUUUGUUCGGUGAUUGCUAAUUUUGGUUUUCAUUCUAAACUUACAGAAAGGAGAAAAAAUUCGUUUAAUUACUUUUCGUUUCGCUCUUGAUUUCGAUCAUUUCAACCCUGCAACACACAAACAAACACACACACAUCCGCAUCCGCCUCCUGGCAGUCGAGAUGAUGCAGUGAUGCAAUGCUCAUGAAUAUAGAAUACUCCGAAUAUGCCACGCUGCCACUUAACACCACACCACACACUCGUAUAAACAGCACUCAUGCAGCAGGGAGCGGGAGCGGUAAAGAGAGAGAGAGGCUCCAACCACACACCCACCCCAUCACACACACACUCACGCGUUCCGGCUGUGCCGUGCCGUGCCGUGCGGCACCCACUCAACAAACAAACACAACAAAAAAUCUGCCAAUACAUUAAUCCUACUUUACCGUUCGAAUGAUUCCAAGUGCCGGAUCUUAAGGUUAAGCGGAAGAUCAAUUUGAGAUGAUUAAGACUACAAAUACGAACCCAAUUUGUAAUCGAAUUUGUUAACUUGUAUGAGAUGGUUUUAUGUACUAUGUAAUCUGAGACGGUCGUUCAACAGAGAUAUUUGGCAUUUCGAUUUAGAUUUGUUUGCCAGGGAUUCUGUUUAACGACCGUUUAAGAACGUGAGGGCGAAUCGCUUAUACACAUAGAUUAUAAUUACGAGAAUUGAUAUACAAUACUUACAUCAUUACCUAUGCUAUCAUUAUAAAUGAUAAAAAUAAAUUAUAAAUUAUUGAACAAUUUCGCUACACACACACCACACACACACACACACACGCGCGAACAACUGAAGAACAGUAACAAUAAAACGAUGAGAGGAUCAGAAGAUCAGAGGAGCACAUUAGCUACCAUUAUCAUAAGCAAUAAUCGUACAUAUAUCAUACAUACAUAGCACACAUAUGCUUCAAAUAUAUGACUCGUUCAUUGGCCUUUUUGCGAUAGAUUAUCCUAUUUGAUCUGUGUAGGGAACACAACAACAACUUACUCCAAUAUUAUGUGCGGAUGAGUAAUAUUUAUUUGAGCAAUUAUCGGUUGAUUACGCCACAUGUCCAUGUAGCUAGAAUAUGAAAUUGAUAUUUGAUGGGGAAACAAUAAAUCUAAAGAACAACAAAACAUACAUAUACGAGUAUAUAGUAUAUAUAUUAUAUAUUUUUGAAUAUAUUAUUACGAGUAUAUUAUAUUGUAUUGUGUAAUUAUGUAAAUGCAAACUGUAUAACAUUGUUUAUAAUAAUUUUUAACAAUUCUUCUGGAACGGCAAUAAAUUCGAAAAUACCAACUAACUGAAGCGAACACUCGCUUGCUCGCUCGCUCGCCCGCUAAACCAAGCGCCUAAAUGUAUGCAUAUUGUAUAUUGAUUUAGUUACAACAUUUUUAAAGGCUCUGCGAGGGCAGCCCCCACACUCACUCACCUCACUCACUCACUCACUUAGUUUUAAAGCAAUACGAGUACUAUCCGUAACCCUUUGAACCCAGAACCCCAAAAACCACACCGACACACACGAGCAUUCUCAUCUAAGAACUUCAGAACAUAUUACGAAAAAGGGAAACAAGAACGCGCAUUGUAGAGGCGGUGAUUUUUAUGUGAACAUUUAUUACUAACUGAUAAGCUUUGAGUAACUUUAGGAAAGCCGUUAUACUAUACAGAUACACAUAUAUAUACAUAUAUAUGUACAUAUAUACGAGUUAUAUAUAGUAUACAUGUAUAUGCUCAUGUGAGCAGCCCAAUAUGAAUGAUACAUUAAAUACUUCCAAAAACAUUAA